UACGGAGGGUGCAAGCGUUGCUCGGAAUUACUGGGCGUAAAGCGGACGCAGGCGGCUUGUCAGGUCGAGCGUGAAAGCCCGGGGCUCAACCCCGGAACUGCGCUCGAAACCGGCUCGCUCGAGUUCGGGAGAGGAGAGCGGAAUUCCUGGUGUAGAGGUGAAAUUCGUAGAUAUCAGGAGGAACACCAGUGGCGAAAGCGGCUCUCUGGCCCGAAACUGACGCUCAUGUCCGAGAGCGUGGGGAGCAAACAGG
rnacentral:rRNA from 1 species